rnacentral:miRNA from 1 species
UUUGCACUCUUUCCUUCCUGUU